rnacentral:rRNA from 1 species
CCUACGGGAGGCAGCAGUGGGGAAUAUUGCGCAAUGGGCGAAAGCCUGACGCAGCGACGCCGCGUGAGGGAUGAAGGUCUUCGGAUCGUAAACCUCUGUCAGCAGGGAAGAACGGUCACUGUGCUAAUCAGCAGUGAAUUGACGGUACCUGCAAAGGAAGCACCGGCUAACUCCGUGCCAGCAGCCGCGGUAAUACGGAGGGUGCGAGCGUUAAUCGGAAUUACUGGGCGUAAAGCGCUCGUAGGCGGUAUGUCAAGUCAAGGGUGAAAUCCCCGCGGUUAACGUGGGAACUGCCUUUGAAACUGGGAAACUGGAGUGUGUGAGAGGAUAGUGGAAUUCCAGGUGUAGGAGUGAAAGCCGUAGAUAUCUGGAGGAACAUCAGUGGCGAAGGCGACUAUCUGGCACAUAACUGACGCUGAGGAGCGAAAGCGUGGGUAGCAAACAGGAUUAGAUACCCGUGUAGUC